rnacentral:tRNA from 1 species
AAGACUUUAAGUUAAAUAAACUAAAAACCUUCAAAGUUUUAAAUAGGAAAUCCUAAGUCUUG